rnacentral:rRNA from 1 species
AACGAACGCUGGCGGCAUGCCUAACACAUGCAAGUCGAACGAGACCUUCGGGUCUAGUGGCGCACGGGUGCGUAACGCGUGGGAAUCUGCCCUUGGGUUCGGGAUAACAGUUGGAAACGACUGCUAAUACCGGAUGAUGUCUUCGGACCAAAGAUUUAUCGCCCAGGGAUGAGCCCGCGUCGGAUUAGCUAGUUGGUGAGGUAUAGGCUCACCAAGGCGACGAUCCGUAGCUGGUCUGAGAGGAUGAUCAGCCACACUGGGACUGAGACACGGCCCAGACUCCUACGGGAGGCAGCAGUGGGGAAUAUUGGACAAUGGGCGGAAGCCUGAUCCAGCAAUGCCGCGUGAGUGAUGAAGGCCUUAGGGUUGUAAAGCUCUUUUACCCGGGAUGAUAAUGACAGUACCGGGAGAAGAAGCCCCGGCUAACUUCGUGCCAGCCGCCGCGGUAACAC